AAACGGACAACGUGCAAAGACAAACACACGUGCAACAACGCACACGGACCAGGUUUGCUAGCGAUCUCAACCAGAGAGCCCUCGCCGGGUGUCGGUAGCUGGUGCUGGAUGACCGCCCUCUCUGGCACCAACUCCUGGCCGAUGUCCCCUUUAGUGGUCGCCACGGUUUCGGGUAGCGGUGCGAGACCGUCGACCCCCUCAGGGGCCAGCAGGCCGGUGAGCUCGGGCCCAGGGAGGAGUGCCGUCACUGGGGCGUUCUGCUCGGGCAGUUCGCUGCCCGUCAAAUACCCUGGGGGGUCCAAACGCAGGUCAAUCCCCCAAGUCCUCAACACUGUUGACUCACUAGGCAAGAGCUGGAGGGUGCAUGCUUCAAAAUCAGAAGUCCGGAUCCUUCAGCAGGAGAGAACUUGCACAUUAGUGGAUACAAGUCAGUUUGGGAGGGAUUUCACCACAUAUUCCGGAGCGUUUCAUUGGGUGACAUGCAGAUGGACUCAUGCCGGUUCUACGACCGCAUGCAGCAUCACUGGUCCAGAUGGAGAACAUGCACCAGAACGCCCAGAGCCAGACCAGAGCCCACUGGAGGCGUUGUUGAUAUAAAUGGCCGCUAGGGGCCCGUUCCCCUGACAGAGGCCCCAGGAUUGCUUGUAGAAAGUGGUCAUACCGUUAAACAACACAGCAUACUUGAGCCAAUCAUUUUGAAUAAAGGCUGUCUUGGAAUUGUAAUUUGGAAGUCCAAAAAAGAUUUGGGUCACUAACAUUAAAGUAAUUAAACAUUUACUGAAAUUAAACUGCUUUUAAAAGGCCCUCAUCUACCCUUCGUGUCAUAAUUGUGAGUGUCAAAAAAUGGAGUAUCAUUCAAACCCAUCUCAGGUGUUACUGAGGGUUAUGUCCCAUGACUUCACAAAACACAACAUGCCUGGUUGAUUAGUUCUCAAUCCAUGCUAAGGAACAGUUGGUUUGUUUUCUAUUAUGGGUUCCCUCAUGUCACAACGUGUUUAUGAUCUUUGUUACACUAUAGGGCUGAAGUCAAAUGACACGGCAAAGCAUGCAUGUUUGACAAGUCUUCAGGGGUCUUUUAAUGAAAACAAUUAUUUGAUGAUGCAUGAGAAAGAGUUGCCGGUGUUUGGUUUUGGUUAGGGAUUUUGAUUGAUGAAGAACAUGACAGAAGAAGUCUGGAUUUAAAAACGCUAUGGCAGUCUAUGUUGUGACGUCAUUACGCGACACACAAUUUUGCGGGACCUGGGGAAGUUUACCCAUUUCAGGAGUGGACUGCGUUCCCUGAGGAACCUCAGGUCCAGACUCUGUUACUCCUGGCUGGGGGGUGGCCUCUAGCAGAACAUCAGUCACACGCUCUUCAGGGUGCUGGGUCACGUUCUGGUCUUGGGUGGGUUCUGGUUCUGGUUCUGCUGGUUUGGGCUCUGGGGUAAUGUCUGGUUCUGGUGAGGAGCUGUGUGACUGGAGCUGCGUUGGAGGCAUCUCCUGGGGCUUCCCGUGCGUGUCCACUAGAGGGAACCCGCUCAGGGACUCAUGGAUGUGGUCUGGUGAGACUCCGCUCUCACCCUUGUUGUUAGAUACCUUCUGCUGAUCCGCACUCUGAGUUCCCGAUUGGCCCUUCCCCGUUUGAACUCCCCUAUCGUAGUCUGGGAAUAUAGCACACAUAGCAUCUACCACAACCUCUGAAGUACAUAGAUAGGUGGUUGCUGUGGAUAAAGAGGUGGCUGCUAGGGAUACUGGGAUGGUCGCUACGGAUACAGAGGUGGGUACUAUAGAUACAGAGGUGGGAGCUAUAGAUACAGAGGUGGUUGCUAUAGAUACAGAGGUGGUUGCUAUAGAUACAGAGGUGGUUGCUAUAGAUAGAGAGAGGUGGUUGCUAAAGAUACAUAGGUGGUUGCUAUAGAUACAGAGGUGGUUGCUAAAAUGACAUAGGUGGUUGUUAUGGAUACAGAAGGGGUUGCUAAAUUGACAUAGUAGGUUGCUACAGAUGCAGAGGGUUUUAGCUGACCACAUGGAUAGAUGGGCAGUAAAUAUCAGCAGGAUGAGCCAACUUUAGCAAUGUUUCUCUCCGCUUCACAGCGGGUCCACCAACCCCUACGAACCACCAGUUAUUCGCCAAUCAGCUAAACCAAGCAUCACCUGACCAGAUUUACAUCCC
ensembl:lncRNA